rnacentral:misc_RNA from 1 species
UAACAGCUGAAAGGAGGUGAUCCAGUGUCUAGAGAAACAUUGGAGAGAGGUGUCGGAACAGUUCGGAGGAUGAUCUGCUAGGGCAGCCCCUGGCAUGAAGCCUACCGAAUUGGCAUUGCCUAACCGGCACGCCUCCUUGACGUCUCGAAUGGGUCGCCCGACAGGCAGGGCGGCCCA